rnacentral:rRNA from 1 species
CCUACGGGAGGCAGCAGUGGGGAAUAUUGCACAAUGGGCGCAAGCCUGAUGCAGCGACGCCGCGUGCGGGAUGAAGGCCUUAGGGUUGUAAACCGCUUUCAGCAGGGACGAAAGUGACGGUACCUGCAGAAGAAGCCCCGGCCAACUACGUGCCAGCAGCCGCGGUAAUACGUAGGGGGCGAGCGUUGUCCGGAUUUAUUGGGCGUAAAGAGCUCGUAGGUGGUCCGGUAAGUCGGAUGUGAAAUCUCCACGCUUAACGUGGAGGGGUCAUUCGAAACUGCCAUGGCUAGAGUUUGGUAGAGGAGUGCGGAACUCCCGGUGUAGCGGUGAAAUGCGCAGAUAUCGGGAAGAACACCCGCAGCGAAGGCGGCACUCUGGGCCAAUACUGACGCUGAGGAGCGAAAGCGUGGGGAGCAAACAGGAUUAGAUACCCUGGUAGUCCACGCCGUAAACGUUGGGCACUAGGUGUGGGGUAGUCUAUCGACGGUCGUCCGUCGCGUACGCUACGCAUAAGUAGCCCGCCGUCGGGUAGGUACGGCCGCGACGGACGUAAACGUUAAACGGUAAAGUUAGACGGUCGUGAGACGUUGUCCGACGGACGACGACGAGGGAGGAGG